GGACUACCGGGGUAUCUAAUCCUGUUUGCUCCCCAUGCUUUCGUGCCUCAGCGUCAGUUACAGUUUAGCAAGCUGCCUUCGCAAUCGGUGUUCUGUGUCAUAUCUAAGUAUUUCACCACUACAUGACACAUUCCGCCUACCUCAACUGUACUCAAGACCGGCAGUAUCAAUGGCAGUUCUGUUGUUAAGCAACAGGAUUUCACCACUGACUUAUCGGUCCGCCUACGCACCCUUUAAACCCAAUAAAUCCGGAUAACGCUCGAAUCCUUCGUAUUACCGCGGCGGCUGGCAC
rnacentral:rRNA from 2 species